rnacentral:rRNA from 1 species
AUGAGUAUGAAUCAUCUAUCAGGGAAUAUACCAAGUUCAUUAGGCAACCUUUCCAAUCAACUCCAGUAUCUAUACUUGGAAGACAAUCAACUAUCAGGAGAUUUUCCUUCUGGUAUAGCAAACUUUUGCAACCUAACUGUUGUAGCAUUGGGGGGAAAUAACUUUACAGGUGUGGUUCCGUGGAUUGGGACUCUCAAAAAUUUACAGCAAAUUGUAUUAGAGAGAAACUUCUUUACAGGGGCCAUCCCCUCGUCCUUGUCAAACUUGUCUCAGCUAGGAGGGUUCUUUCUACACUCGAACCAGUUCUUUGGUCACAUACCAGCAAGCAUUGGAGACUUUCCAAUGCUUCAAUAUUUGGACAUUUUCAACAACAAUCUUCAAGGCUCAGUUCCAGUGGAGAUCUUCAGAAUCCCAUCAAUGAUAGGAAUUGAAUUGUCAUUCAACAACCUUGAUGAACAACUUUCCAAUGACAUUGGCAAUUCCAAACAACUCAUAUAUUUUUAA